UUCGGCAAGGACAAAGGAUGUUGAACGAAAACCUCAUCUAAACUUUAAACAGCAUCAGAUACAUUUUUCAAAAGAAUUCAACCAAUCACAAGCAGGAAUUUUGUGAAAGAAGUAUUUGGGAAAAUAAAGAUGGGCAAUAUAGGAAAGACUGCAAGAAAUAACAGUAUCAUCACCCAAUUAGGAAACCAGUGGAUGGAGAAGAAUUGGAAUAAUUUGAAGAGAGCCAGCUAUCCAUCAGAAAUUGUUGGUAGAUUACUGCUUAAUUUAAAAAAAAACUUUGAAACUGAUUCCAUUAGGUCCUAAUGGUAAAGAGUCAAGUCCUUAUCUGAAACCUGAACAUUUUGAUGCAAUUGUGGAGGCCACCUUAUUGGUUGCAUCUCCUUCAGUCGAAGAUGACGACAAUCCCAAGCACCCAAGCAAUGCAAUUAAACUUGGCUUUGACACUAAGCGUAUGAUUUCUGGAAAAUUUGGUCUGGUAAUAAUACAGAGAGACCAAAAAACACAUGGUGAAGCGGAAGACCUCCUGCAGGCAAUGGCAAUCUACUGGGCAACAGGAGUAACAAAAUGGCCAAGGUUUUUCUGCAGCAGAGGAUGUAUAGGAAAAGUCACAAACUUCCAGAGCCUGAUGACAUUAACAAGCUCAAUGUACAAUCAAAGCCGACCUGGAGAGCUCCAGGCUAUUGGAUUGACAAGACUACAAAGAGUGACAAGAGGAGGAAGAUGUCGAGCAUUUGAUUGGAGAUUGUACAACAUUUGAAAAGAAACUGUGGAGAACCAGGUGGUUAUCACAGUGUAAGGAAAGGUGCACAGAUGAUGUCUUAGAAAAAACAAAUAGCCAAGAUACUACUACAAGACCGUGUGGGAGAGUUUCGGAUAAAUCCCUACAAGACAUCCAAAUAGAAGGCCUUAUCCAAGAGUCAUCAUUCGCUGAACUGGAUGAAAAUGAGGAUUUACACAUGACAUCACCAGACAUUGUAGGUGCCAUUGAGCCAUGUGAUUUUUGUGUUGGAUAUCGCCAAAAAAUUUGAAUACAUAUCGAAGCCCAUAAAAAAUACGAAAGUCUGCUGCUCUUCAAGAAACAGAAAAAUAAGACCAACACCACAUCAAUGUGGGAAAGCAAUUGACCCAAGCAGGGUUAAUGAUGGAAAAAUUUUGGAAAAGAAAAAUUGAAGAUGUACUGGAAAAAAAACUUUCAUAAUUGUGGAUAAACUGAAUGCAGGUCGGAAACUCUAAAACUCUUUGAUGCUAUUUCUGCUGUUCUAAUUUGUAGAAAAGCUGAUUGUGGGUCAGAAACCUACAAGAGAUUGUCUUGUCAUCAUUGGGGAGCAGUUUGUAGAUGAUGGAUUGAUCAAAGUUCUAAUGUGAAGUCAUUUAUUACCAACUUUUUAUUAACAUUGUCAAACAUGGCUCUUUAUGUUAAUACUUAAUUUUGACCACUUGAUUUGUAUCAUAAAUUUUUAACAUCUUGUGCAUCCGUUGUCAUUCCUUCAUGCAACAAUCUUGAAUAAACUAGGAUCAAGGUGUGUGUAUAUAUAUCAUAGUACAGUUUUGUAUAGAAUAUAUAUAUAUUCGUUUUGUAUAUAUUUAUAAUGUACAGCUCCAUUUUGUGGAGAACUUUUAUACACAAAACAUUCAAUGGAGUUACUUCUAUUUUUCAAAUUGUUGAUACCAAAAAUAUAAAUGAUUAAAAGUAUUUUUAAACGUCAAGAAAGAGCAAAUGCAGAUUUGUAUCUUGCAUGAAUUGUCUCUUGAUGAAAAAUCACCUGCAAGCAUUGAAACAGUGAUUAGUUUUUAAUCAAAAGGAAGAAAAAUGUGCCAAUACUAAUUGUAGAUAACGAAUACGAUAUUUCCAUUGACUUGACCAUGGAUGGAUGAAUUUCUAAGUUUGCAGUAUUUCAAUAUGCUCAGUAUUUAAAAAUUCCUGUCAAGAAUGUUUGAUCAAAUGGAAGACCUUGUUCCAUUUUCAAGGUCACAGGGAUAAAUGUUUAAUAAUCUUUAAAUGGAUUUCUUAAUAUCCAAAAAGUUCUGAUAACCGGCCCGUAGUAUGCUGGAAUGAAUUACCAAUUAUGUUCAUGUUAUUCAUAUUUUCACUUUUUAAAGGUCACAAGGGUCAAAUUUGUUGCAAUCUUUAAUUUAUUGACUUCUUGUCAAUAACAAAAAGGUCAAGGCUGUUGAAACUGGUUUUUCAAUGUUCGUGGAUGAAGGACAAUCGUUUUCAAAUUGACCUUGACCUUUGUUAAAGAUCUCUUUGAUUUUUUUUUCAAUAAGCAAUAGGUUCGGAAUAAUGGCAUUUGUGUAGUAGCAUGUAUAAAUAUGAUUUUAAGUUUGCAGAAAAUGUUUCUAUGACCAAACAGUAUCUUUGUAUGCUGUAGAGUAGUUGAGCGGUUUAUCUUGGGCUUAUUUGUCCUUUCAUAUAUAGGUCUUUAUAUUCAGAAGACUUAAGGCCCAUGGGCCUCCUGUUUAUAAAACAUUGGCUGGGUAGUUAUUACUUAAAUUAAACAGCAUUUCAUACUAGAUAGUAAAGAGUUGUAAAGAAUUUCUUGCAUUUUGCCCAUAUAUUGUUAAACAAUAUACAUUUUUUACUUUUGAAAAUCCCUGAGCCAAUUUUAAUGAAAUUUGGUAGAUAUUUUCAUGGCCAAAGGAAUGAAGUACUGUCUCCGACCUAGGGGACUUUGGCAGUGUCGAAUUGAAUCAAAUUUUUGAAAAUCUCCACAGAUAUGAAGAAUCAAAUACUUUUAAUAGAUGAAAGGGUUUUUGAGAUGCUUUAACUCAAAUUAUGAAUUUCAUGAUCCUUGCAUUUUUCCUUGGGAGGGGUAUUACGUCAGAAGCUUAUAUAGAAUCUUUUUCUCCAAUUCAAAAUCUAUUAGAAUCCAUAAUAUAGGAUGACAGUUAAUUGUUAACAAGAUCAAGAUGAUUUAUGUGAUAUAUGUAACACAGCACAAACAAUGUUAAUGGAAUUUAGGUGACUGUAAAGACCAUUGGGUCAUUUGUCAGGACACUAUCAUGCAGUGUUGAAAUUUUGGUCAAAGAAUUGGAAGAUUUGAUAUGAGUAAGGUUGCUACCAAAUAGUUCUACAUUUUUUGAAAUUCUUCAAUGGUGUCCAGAUCUGGAAAAGGAAGUUUUCAAUUUGUCAUUUUUAGAUCAUCUGACCAUGGGUAAGGUUUUGUAGUCAGAUGACCUUUGGCCCAUGGGUCUCUUGUAUAUGUUGAAAAUUUGAAUUUACAAUUAUGUAAGAAUACCUUUGUUUUUGGAUAAUUAAAUCAGAUCUUGCCUCUAGCCCAGUAAACUCUCUCCAUAUUUCAAUACAUUCACGUUCUGUUUUUUCUCAUUUUGUGGUAUGUGUGGGUGUAAAAGUUUGUACUUGUAUAUUUAGUGACGAUGACUGAGCUAGUGAAAAUGAUUGUACAUGGAUGAUACUGAUUGUACAUGGCACGAUGUUGACUGGAUGAUGAAGAGUAUGCAUGUGGUAAUGUGAUGAGUGAUAAUUGUACAUGUGAUAAUGAUUGUACCAUGGGUGGUCGGGAGGCGCAGUGGUAACACUCGCCUUUCACGUAGACGACCGGGAUUUGAUUCCCGGAAAGAACGUGAAAAGGUUAAGGGGUCACCUGCCCGACCACGUGGGUUUUCCCCGGGUACUCCGGUUUCCUCCCACAAUAAGACCCCUCGCGCACUUGCAUCCGGGCCAACAAAGUGAUUAGUAUAAGUUGACAUAACUUGUUUCGCAAUUGUUGUAAAAGAAAUCAAGUUUAUAUCUAUUUAUAAUGAUUGUACAUUACAUCAUGAUUGUACAUGGCACGAUGUUGACUGGAUGAAGAGUAUGCACGUGGUAAUGUGAUGAGUGAUGAUAAUAGUUGUACAUGUGAUAAUGAUUGUACCAUGGGUGGUCGGGAGGCGCAGUGGUAACACUCGCCUUUCACGUAGCCGACCGGGAUUUGAUUCCCGGAAAGAACGUGAAAAGGUUAAGGGGUCACCUGCCCGACCACGUGGGUUUUCCCCGGGUACUCCGGUUUCCUCCCACACUAAGACCCCUCGCGCACUUACAUCAGGGCUAACAAGAGUGAUUAGUAUAAGUUGACAUAACUUGUUUCGCAAUUGUUGUAAAAUAAAUCAACUUUAUAUCUAUUUAUAAUUGUACAUAGGGUGAUGAUUGUACAAUAAGAUGCAUGAGGUGUACAAGUGCUUUGGUGUGUAAGGUGCG